AUCCCAAUUUUUUUCCCAAUUCUAUUUCUCAGCUCUCUCGCGCCUCAGUCUCUCUCUCCCUCUGAAACCCCAAAUGUCGAAACCCCCAAAUCCCACAAGAUCUUCUCCAUUUUCCCUCCCUCAGCUCACUGUUGGUUAAUUUUUUUUCAUUUUUUUGUUAGAUACCUCUUCUUCUUUAAUUUUUCCCCACUGUUUUUUUUUUCCUUUUUCUUCUUCUUGAUCUCCGACUUGUAGAUGGCCCUCCGACUGCCUGUCUCUUCGCCUCCCUCCCUUCUGCUCCGGCUCAUCUACAGGCUCAACUCCCUCUUUAUUUUCAGGAAACUCGGUUUCCAAGUUCAAAUUCAAAAAGAAGCUUGAGUUAAUAUUUUGAUUGGUCUUAAAGCAUUGGAUCGGUAGCUAAUUGCAAGAGCUAGUUAGUUGAUAGAAUGGAACAUUUGGUUUUGGAGCAAGAAAAGAAAUAUCUAUCUGGAGUAAGAUGACAACUUUCAAAUGCACAUGUCUAUAUUGAGAUGCAUUUCUUUGGCGCAAAACUAGACAUUGGUAGUUAAAGUAUUUAGAAUCAAAAAUAUAUUUCACUAACUUUGUAUACAUGCCUUGUUUAAUAUUUGGUGAUGAUAGAAUUUGAUUGUAGUAUAAACUUUCAUGUAAUAUGAUUUUGUAAGCCGAGUAGACUAAAUAUUAAAAUUAUAUUUUUGAGUAAUUAAUAAAAAAUUAUUUUGUUGUA